GCAAAAGUCGUAACAAGGUAGCUGUAGGUGAACCUGCUGCUGGAUCAUUACUUUAUGUGAUGUUCAAAUUUGAAUUCGCAAUGAAAUGAUCGUUGUGAAACGGCUGUCGCUGGUGUCUAAGUGUUGCUGAUACGGUUGUGAACGUCCGUGGCUGUAUAUGUGGUGACAUGUUAGGACUCUAAUGAGUUUAAGACCUAAUGAGCCUCUUAAGUGAGGCCGCCAGCAACCUUUUUUUUCUCUACAUUUUAAAAAAAAAACUAAAAUUCUAUCCUUAUCGGUGGAUCACUAGGCUCGUGGAUCGAUGAAGAACGCACCAAACUGCGAUAAUUAUUGCGAACUGCAGAAGUAUUGAGCACAAAAGUUUUGAACGCAAAUGGCCGCAUUGAGGUCAAACUCUUUGCAACGUCUGGUUCAGGGUCAUUUUCUCUUAUAGCGGAAGCUUUAAUUUCUAUAAUGAUGUUGUUGCUUUAUAUUUUAAAAGGAUUUUUGUUUAUUCAUGUAUUAAAUCUAACUGUGAAAAUCAAACAAUUUUGACCUGAACUCAGUCGAGAGCCCCCGCUGAACUUAAGCAUAUCAGUAAGCGGGAGGAAAAGAAACGAAAUAGGAUUCCC
rnacentral:rRNA from 1 species